AUUAGCCGUAAACAAGAUUCUUAGAUAUAUUUUCCUUUUCCCUUCUGUUUUUUUAACUAACUGAUCGACUUUAGGGGUAGCGGAGAGAACAAGUUUAGAAAAAUCCAAGGCUAGUUGUCUCUGUAACUCAAGCACAACAUGUCUAUCGUGAGAAGUGUUUGUAUUUUGCUGCUUUUGACGGCUAUUGCUUUGGAGGCAACCCCAUUGUCAGGAGGAUUAAAGAAGAGAUUGGGACAGCCAUAUCCGUGCACCGACUCGUGUGUACCAAAAGGAGGGUGUGACGGUUGGCCCCUGUUAUAUGGGGUCUGCAGUGAUUCCACCAUGCAAUGUUGUGAUACCGAAUGGUGAAUGAUGCUUCUCAUCAAGUGUGACAGUUUAGAAUCGUCGAGGAUGAAAACUUCACUGGAGUUACAUCAAUAAUUUUGAGGUCACGAAAAUAAACUUAAAAUAAUCAAACAA